UACGUAGGCAGCAAGCGUUGUUCGGAGUUACUGGGCGUAAAGGGUGUGUAGGCGGUUGUUUAAGUUUGGUGUGAAAUCUCCCGGCUCAACUGGGAGGGUGCGCCGAAUACUGAAUGACUAGAGUGCGGGAGAGGAAGUGGAAUUCCUGGUGUAGCGGUGAAAUGCGUAGAUAUCAGGAGGAACACCGGUGGUGUAGACGGCUUUCUGGACCGUAACUGACGCUGAGACACGAAAGCGUGGGUAGCAAACAGG
rnacentral:rRNA from 1 species